GAUGAACGCUGGCGGCGUGCCUAAUACAUGCAAGUCGAGCGAACAGACGAGGAGCUUGCUCCUCUGACGUUAGCGGCGGACGGGUGAGUAACACGUGGAUAACCUACCUAUAAGACUGGGAUAACUUCGGGAAACCGGAGCUAAUACCGGAUAAUAUAUUGAACCGCAUGGUUCAAUAGUGAAAGACGGUUUUGCUGUCACUUAUAGAUGGAUCCGCGCCGCAUUAGCUAGUUGGUAAGGUAACGGCUUACCAAGGCGACGAUGCGUAGCCGACCUGAGAGGGGGUUGCCCCACCCGGGAACAGACACCGGGCCCGGCCCCCCCGGGGGGGCGCCGGUGGGGAUUUUUCCGCAAGGGGCGAAGGCCGGCGGGCGCACCCCCGGGGGAGUGAGGAGGGUCUUCGGAUCGUAAACCUUUUUUAUUGGGAAAAAAAAAGUGUGAAAGUAACUAUGCACGUCUGCACGCCCCCUAAACAGAAGCCCCCGGCUACCUACGCC
rnacentral:rRNA from 1 species